CAUUAGCUGUGCAGUGGUGCAUAUAUUCAGUUGUGUAAAGACAAGCAAAGGAGAAACAAGUGAACCACAGCAUAGAGCACCAAUUCAUUUUUCAGUGAUUUUUUCUUUUUAUACUUUUAAUUACUUUGCCUUCUUAACAUUGAACUUUCAGCUGUGCAAAGAAAGGGAGGAUUGGAAGACAGUAAUUGCCUAAGUGUAGGGGUUUGCUUGAUGCCCAUGGGCAGAGGGGCCAGAGAGGGGAUAGUCAAUGUGGGGGACGCAAAAGGUGUUGAAAAUGGAAAGACUUUGAGUGGAGCAAAUCUCUCUGGGAAAUUUGUACUCAGUGAAGCUAUAGAAGACUGAAUAUUUGAAGAAUAGUUCAAAGAAGUGUCUAGGAAAUGCAGAUCUGACUUCAAGUCCCCUUCUGCCUUCUUCUACUCCACAGCAAACAUUUAUGAAGCCUUGCAAUAAGCACUGCUGUCUGCAUUCUGUUAACCAGGAUUCAGUCAUGUGACCUGCAUCCAAAUACAGACAAAACUAGCUGGAGAAAAGAGAGUUGCAUCUCCUACCAAAAAGGAACAAGUACAAAGACCCUGUGGUUGGAGAAGACAUGGCAUAUGACACAUUUGAGGAACUGAAGGAAAGUAUUUGGAAUUAUGCUGUGUACAAUGCUAAAGGAAAAAGACUUCCUCCUUUCCCAUCAAAGUGAGAAUGUGUUGGGGAGGGAGGAGAGAAGGAAAUGUGGAAGUUUGUGUUUGAAUGUUAAAUGUAACAGUCUAUAAAAUAUUCUUACCAUGUGAUAUGAACUUAUGGAAAAUUUGAUUUAAAGAGGUUGUGUCUGGAUUCCUUGUAAUGUUACUGCAAGAUCUCAGAGAAAUGUAGGCUUUUGGAAGAUGUGUAAAAUCCCAGUUUCAAGAGAAUGGGACUCAGGUUUUGCUAGUACUUUCCAUCUUUUGAAGCUAAAAUGUUGGGUAUGGGAGCUACUGAGGAUUUUUAAAGAACAGAGUUUAAGGAGAAUACUUCCACUCAACCUCAUUUAAAUUUGCAAUGUGUAUUGGGGAAGAUAGCAAUUUUGUAUAAUAGAGUGAUAGCUUAUCUAGUCUGGCUCAGCGUGUUUCACAGGAGGUUAAUGAGAAAGGUUUUCUUAUCUCAGAAAGUGAUCAGCUCUCUUUGAAGUUAGAAUUUGAGUCUCUAUGCUAGGCAGCAUUUUGUUUUCAUUUAAUUGAUUUAGUUGUGAAAUGUUCUGGCAUUUCUUAAUUCUGCAGAGGAGGUUUGUUCCUUUGAAACUGAGAUGUAUGUGUGCAUUAUUAUAUGUGUCACACACAUAUUGACACAUGUCUACAUAUCUGAUGGAUCCGUGUGUUCACUCAUGUACUAGCAAGUAUUUAUUUAACAUCUGUUAUAUGUUACAUUCUGUGAAUGCUUCAGUGAACUCACCAAAUAAGGUUUCUCUCUUCAUAGCCAUGGAAUUGACAAUCUGAAGGUGCUUGUAUAGACACAAGCAAAAAGAUAAAUGUAGAAGUAAAAAUGUUAUUGACUACUAAGAAGAAAAAAUAAUAGGUUGGUACGUAUGGGAAGAAUAAUCAGAGUGUCUACCUAAGAAUGAGUGGUGUGUUUGAUAGCUUCUGUUUGUCCCCUACAGCCCCUCCUCCCACCCUUCCUUGCCCUUCCUGGGAGCCUUUCUGCAUGGACUGCUUUAAAGGGCUCCCCUGCUUCCGGUGGGGAUUGGCCAUUGAGAUGGUGGGUGAAGAAUGAGGCUGGGUUAUUUACUUUCCUGGCUCUCUCCACGUCAUAUCUCUAUUUGAUUGAAACUCUCCACUGAAGGCCAUCAAUUCUCAAUUCUUUAAGGUGGCCCUUACACUCACCCUCUGCAGGUUCUGGUACAUUCCCUUCCCUCCUGCGUCCAGUCUCCCCAGCUGAUGGUAGCCAUGGGGUACUAUACUAUCUCUUGUUGGUGUCCCUAAACCCUGUCCUAAACUUUAUAUAUGGCUUCUUUGUGAACAUUUUACCCCAUUUGGAAUACGACACCUGUUUCCUGCUGAGGUCCUGACUGACGUAUAUUCAAGAGGGUCUUUUUGAGGAUGUGGCUUUUAAGUUGAAGUCUGAAAUGUCAGAAGUUGUGGACCAGACGAUUAAUGGGAGGAAGUGGGUUUUAGAAGAAAGAAAGAAUAUGCGUGAAGGCCCCCAGGAUGGAAAGAACUUUGUAUGUUCAAGGGACAUGCAGAGGAGGAACCUAUAUUUAGGGACAAAGGACAGGUGGUGCUGGAUGAGGCUGGAGAAGUGAAUAAGAACAGCCACAUCCAGCUUUGUAGACGCUGUUAGGGAGUGUAAGCAGGAUAAUCAACGACACUGUGUUUAGCUGAGCUGAAAAUAAUAGGGAAGACUUUCUGGAGUUGGACUUUGAGUUGGACUUUAAUGAACAGAUAGAACUGUAUUAGGCAGUGGUAUUCAAAAUAGCUGGUCUGUGUCUCAGUGAGAUAAAAAAACUUGUGCUUGAAUGUAAAUCAAUACAUUGCUUUCUUCACCAAGGCAGCCUUGCAAUGGGCCACCUGGCAUUCGUAGGUAGGAGGUAGAGGAGAAGAGAAAGAGAAAUUUGGUAAAGCAGAUGCAGUCAAACCAGAUCACAAAAUGGUACAAAUACCAGGAUAAGGAGUUGGGACUUUAUGCUGUGGGCAAUGGUGGUACAUUGAAUUUCUUUUGAAAAGAAUGGCAAGAUUAGAGCUAUAGUUAGAAAGAUAAUCUAGCAUGAUGUCAAGGCUGAGUAGAUUCAAGGGAGGAAAGUGUGGGGCAGUGAUCAGAAACACUGUGGAAGCUCAGUUCUCUCUUUUGUGGUUUCAUUAAUUUAACAAGGUCUGUUUUAUCUUUGAAAUGACGGCUAUGGCCUAAAAUGUGCUAUUAUUUACUGUCACCUUCCCAUGCGAACUUUUGAUGAUGAUGUUGAUUUUUGAUGAACAAA